CCUACGGGAGGCAGCAGUAGGGAAUAUUGCUCAAUGGAGGAAACCCUGAAGCAGCAACGCCGCGUGGAGGAUGACGGUUUUCUGAUUGUAAACUCCUUUUGUUAGAGAAGAUAAUGACUGUAUCUAACGAAUAAGCACCGGCUAACUCCGUUCCAGCGGCCGCGGUAAUACGGAGGGUGCAAGCGUUACUCGGAAUCACUGGGCGUAAAGCGAGCGUAGGCGGGAUAGCAAGUCAGAUGUGAAAUCCUAUGGCUUAACCAUAGAAUUGCAGUUGAAACUGUUAUUCUAGAGUACGGGAGAGGUAGGUGGAAUUCGUGGUGUAGGGGUAAAAUCCGUAGAGAUCAAGAGGAAUACUCAUUGCGAAGGCGACCUGCUAGAACAUAACUGACGCUGAUGCGCGAAAGUGUGGGGAGCAAACAGGAUUAGAUACCCUAGUAGUC
rnacentral:rRNA from 1 species